UAAGAUUAGAUCCCGUUUUAAUUUUUAACCGAACCGGUAUGCACCAAUUAGAUGCUGACACGUGGCACCCGGAAUUAUAAAGUGAAAAUGUAAUUUUAAUCCCCCGGAAUUAAUAAAAGGCACUUUUGCAGAAAAGCCCCUGCAAUUUCAAAUGAUCAUAACUUUAAAUCUGCUUGGCCAAAUUUAGUGAUCCACACCUUUUUGGAAUCCUUAGGAACUGUAGAAUCUUUUGGCACUGUCC
rnacentral:lncRNA from 1 species